AUUGAACGCUGGCGGCAGGCCUAACACAUGCAAGUCGAGCGGAUGAAGGGAGCUUGCUCCUGGCUUCCGCUGCGGACGGGUGAGUAAUGCCUAGGAAUCUGCCUGGUCUUUGGGGAUAACGUCCGUAAACGGGCGCUAAUACCGCAUCCGUCCUGAUGGAGAAAGUGGGGGAUCUUCGGACCUCACGCUAUCUGAUGAGCCUAGUUCGAAUUAGCUAGUUGGUGGGGUAAAGGCCUACCAAGGCGACGUUCCGUAACUGGUCUGAGAGGAGGAUCAGUCACACUGGAACGGAGAAAGGGUCAAAAUCCUAAGGGAGGCAGCAGUGGGGAAUAUUGGACAAUGGGCGAAAGCCUGAUGCAGCAAUGCCGCGUGUGUGAAGAAGGUCUUCGGAUCGUAAAGCACUUUAAGUUGGGAAGAACGGAAGUAAGUUAAUACCUGGAUGUUUUGACGGUACCAAAAGAAUAAGCAACGGCUAACUACGUG
rnacentral:rRNA from 1 species